AAGUCGUAACAAGGUUUCCGUAGGUGAACCUGCGGAAGGAUCAUUAAAGAAUCGCCCCGUUUUUUGAAAUGGGUUCUAUUCCCCAACCGUGUCUAUAUACCUUUGUUGCUUUGGCAGGCCGCCACUUAGGCGUUGGCUCCGGCUGACUGUGCCUGCCAGAGGACCCAAACUCGUUUGUUAGUGAUGUCUGAGUAUUAUAUAAUAGUUAAAACUUUCAACAACGGAUCUCUUGGUUCUGGCAUCGAUGAAGAACGCAGCGAAAUGCGAUAAGUAAUGUGAAUUGCAGAAUUCAGUGAAUCAUCGAAUCUUUGAACGCACAUUGCGCCCCUUGGUAUUCCGAGGGGCAUGCCUGUUCGAGCGUCAUUAUAACCACUCAAGCCUCGGCUUGGUCUUGGGGUUCGCGGUCUCGCGGCUCUUAAAAUCAGUGGCAGUGCCGUCUGGCUCUAAGCGUAGUAAUUCUCUCGCUAUAGAGUUCCGGUGGUUACUUGCCAAAACCCCUAAUUUUUUAACGGUUGACCUCGGAUCAGGUAGGGAUACCCGCUGAACUUAAGCAUAUCAAUAAGCGGAGGAAAAGAAACCAACAGGGAUUGCCUCAGUAACGGCGAGUGAAGCGGCAACAGCUCAAAUUUGAAAUCUGGCUCUUUCAGGGUCCGAGUUGUAAUUUGUAGAAGAUGCUUUGGGUGUGGCUCCGGUCUAAGUUCCUUGGAACAGGACGUCAUAGAGGGUGAGAAUCCCGUAUGUGACUGGGUGCUUUCGCUCGUGUAAAGCUCUUUCAACGAGUCGAGUUGUUUGGGAAUGCAGCUCAAAAUGGGUGGUAAAUUUCAUCUAAAGCUAAAUAUUGGCCAGAGACCGAUAGCGCACAAGUAGAGUGAUCGAAAGAUGAAAAGCACUUUGGAAAGAGAGUUAAACAGUACGUGAAAUUGUUGAAAGGGAAGCGCUUGCAACCAGACUUGCAUACUGUUGAUCAUCCGAGCUUCUGCCCGGUGCACUCGAUAGUAUUCAGGCCAGCAUUGGUUUUGGUGGGCGGAUAAAGGCCUUGGGAAUGUAGCUUCUUUCGGGGAGUGUUAUAGCCCUCGGUGCAAUGCGCCCUACCGGGACCGAGGACCGCGCUUCGGCUAGGAUGCUGGCGUAAUGGUUGUAAGCGACC
rnacentral:rRNA from 1 species